UAAUUGAAGAGUUUGAUCAUGGCUCAGAUUGAACGCUGGCGGCAGGCCUAACACAUGCAAGUCGAGCGGCA
rnacentral:rRNA from 2 species